UACGUAGGGCGCAAGCGUUGUCCGGAAUUAUCGGGCGUAAAGAGCUCGUAGGCGGCUUGUCACGUCGGAUGUGAAAGCCCGGGGCUCAACCUCGGGUCUGCAGUCGAUACGAGCAAACUAGAGUGUUGCAGGGGAGACUGGAAUUCCUGGUGUAGCGGUGAAAUGCGCAGAUAUCAGGAGGAACACCGGUGGCGAAGGCGGGUCUCUGGGCAACAACUGACGCUGAGGAGCGAAAGCGUGGGGAGCGAACAGG
rnacentral:rRNA from 1 species